UAGAGCAACGGUGUCGAUCGAC
rnacentral:siRNA from 1 species